UACGGAGGGGGCAAACGUUGUUCGGAAUUACUGGGCGUAAAGGGCGCGUAGGCGGCCCGCUAAGUCGAACGUGAAAUCCCCGAGCUCAACUCGGGAACUGCGUCCGAUACUGGUGGGCUUGAAUCCGGGAGAGGGAUGCGGAAUUCCAGGUGUAGCGGUGAAAUGCGUAGAUAUCUGGAGGAACACCGGUGGCGAAGGCGGCAUCCUGGACCGGCAUUGACGCUGAGGCGCGAAAGCUAGGGGAGCAAACGGG
rnacentral:rRNA from 1 species